CAGCCGCCGCGGGAAUACGGAGGGUGCAAGCGUUAUCCGGAUUUAUUGGGUUUAAAGGGUCCGUAGGCGGAUCUGUAAGUCAGUGGUGAAAUCUCACAGCUUAACUGUGAAACUGCCAUUGAUACUGCAGGUCUUGAGUAAAUUUGAAGUGGCUGGAAUAAGUAGUGUAGCGGUGAAAUGCAUAGAUAUUACUUAGAACACCAAUUGCGAAGGCAGGUCACUAAGAUUUAACUGACGCUGAUGGACGAAAGCGUGGGGAGCGAACAGGAUUAGAUACCCCUGUAGUCCCUGUCUCUUAUAA
rnacentral:rRNA from 1 species